GAAAUCCUCCACACGUGGUUGCCAUGAGCCUGCUCCGUGCAGCCUGGACAGCUGCCUUCCGCUCACCUCCACCAAAGGCCUCCAGCAAAGAUAUUAGCCCUGAGAAGAAACCAACGUCUAUUUUACCGAUCACUAGAGCACUGUCCCUGGCACAAAGUCGUUGCUCAAGAAACACUUGAAUGAACGAAUGAAUGAGUGGAUGAAUGAAUGAACAAGAGAUGGCUGCUCAGCCCUUGGAAGUCAUGUGCCUGAAGUCUCACUGCCACAACUCACAUGUGGGGUGCCUCCCUUAACCACAGUAUCACACUGCCUUUGGGCAGCUGUUUCAAGCCCAGAGUGCAAUGGACUAACACUGAACAUCGUGAAGGACUGGUCUCAGGAGGUACUCAAGGAAGAGGGCUUAAACAACCAGUUAAGCAGCACAGUCUCUCUAAGUUUCCCUGCCCUUGAACCCCUAUGAUCCUGGCACACAGUAGGUGCUCAGUAAAUGUUGACCAGUGAGUGAUGGCAUGAAUGGAACCUGAGGGUCUGAGGCUACACAGUCUGUUGCAAGCCCGGGACAAAGAUGUGGCACCGGCAGUGUGGGGAGGGUGGAAUGCUGGCCCAGGGCAGCUGUGCCCUUGCUGGCCUUAUCAAGAAGGACACUGGGCCCCUGCGCCACCUUCCCAAAUCCUGCCUCGGGCCUGCCUCCCGGGGAGUUUGGCAGCCACCAAGGCUGGCCUCACUAUCUCUCUGUGCUCCUUGGAAGGGAAGCCUUUAUCAGCAAACACUGCAUUUGAAAGCCCUAAUUGUCAAGCACGGUCCCAUCAAAGCAGCCGAAAGCCAGGCCGCCCCCAUCCCUCAUGGCCCAGCAGGCUCAACUGGUUCCCCACGAUGGCUGGCGGGUGUAUAUUUUAAAAUAUCUAAAUACAGCUGAAAAUAAAAAUUAUUUAC
rnacentral:lncRNA from 1 species